GUGGAUUAGAUACCCGGGUAGUCCAUGCCGUAAACGUUGGGCACUAGGUGUGGGGGACAUUCCACGUUUUCCGCGCCGUAGCUAACGCAUUAAGUGCCCCGCCUGGGGAGUACGGCCGCAAGGCUAAAACUCAAAGGAAUUGACGGGGGCCCGCACAAGCGGCGGAGCAUGCGGAUUAAUUCGAUGCAACGCGAAGAACCUUACCAAGGCUUGACAUGUUCCAGAUCGCCUCAGAGAUGGGGUUUCCCUUCGGGGCUGGUUCACAGGUGGUGCACGGUCGUCGCCAACU
rnacentral:rRNA from 1 species